rnacentral:rRNA from 1 species
GCAGCCGCGGUAAUACGUAGGGGGCGAGCGUUGUCCGGAAUGACUGGGCGUAAAGGGCGUGUAGGCGGUUCUUUAAGUCUGGAGUGAAAGUCCUGCUUUCAAGGUGGGAAUUGCUUUGGAGACUGGAGAACUUGAGUGCGGAAGAGGUAAGUGGAAUUCCCAGUGUAGCGGUGAAAUGCGUAGAGAUUGGGAGGAACACCAGUGGCGAAGGCGACUUACUGGGCCGUAACUGACGCUGAGGCGCGAAAGCGUGGGGAGCGAACAGGAUUAGAUACCCC